AUUGAACGCUGGCGGCAUGCCUUACACAUGCAAGUCGAACGGCAGCACGGGAGCAAUCCUGGUGGCGAGUGGCGAACGGGUGAGUAAUGUAUCGGAACGUGCCCAGUUGUGGGGGAUAACUGCUCGAAAGAGCAGCUAAUACCGCAUACGACCUGAGGGUGAAAGCGGGGGAUCGCAAGACCUCGCGCAAUUGGAGCGGCCGAUAUCAGAUUAGGUAGUUGGUGGGGUAAAGGCCCACCAAGCCAACGAUCUGUAGCUGGUCUGAGAGGACGACCAGCCACACUGGGACUGAGACACGGCCCAGACUCCUACGGGAGGCAGCAGUGGGGAAUUUUGGACAAUGGACGCAAGUCUGAUCCAGCCAUGCCGCGUGCGGGAAGAAGGCCUUCGGGUUGUAAACCGCUUUUGUACGGAACGAGAAGCCCUGGGUUAAUACCCUGGGGUCAUGACGGUACCGUAAGAAUAAGCACCGGCUAACUACGUGCCAGCCGCCGCCGUAAAAC
rnacentral:rRNA from 1 species